rnacentral:rRNA from 1 species
GAUGUACGCUAGCUACAGGCUUAACACAUGCAAGUCGAGGGACCGGCGCACGGGUGAGUAACGCGUAUCCAACCUGCCCACCACUUGGGGAUAACCUUGCGAAAGUAAGACUAAUACCCAAUGGUGAUGGAUGGGGAUGCGUCUGAUUAGCUUGUUGGCGGGGUAACGGCCCACCAAGGCUACGAUCAGUAGGGGUUCUGAGAGGAAGGUCCCCCACAUUGGAACUGAGACACGGUCCAAACUCCUACGGGAGGCAGCAGUGAGGAAUAUUGGUCAAUGGACGAGAGUCUGAACCAGCCAAGUAGCGUGCAGGAUGACGGCCUAUGGGUUGUAAACUGCUUUUAUAAGGGAAUAUGUACCUUAUGAAUAAGGACCGGCUAAUUCCGUGCCAGCAGCCGCGGUAAUACGGAAGGUCCGGGCGUUAUCCGGAUUUAUUGGGUUUAAAGGGAGCGUAGGCCGGAGAUUAAGCGUGUUGUGAAAUGUAGAUGCUCAACAUCUGCACUGCAGCGCGAACUGGUUUCCUUGAGUACGCACAAAGUGGGCGGAAUUCGUGGUGUAGCGGUGAAAUGCUUAGAUAUCACGAAGAACUCCGAUUGC